UACAGGGGGGGCAAGCGUUGUUCGGAAUUACUGGGCGUAAAGGGCUCGUAGGCGGCCAACUAAGUCACACGUGAAAUCCCCAGGCUUAACCUGGGAACUGCGUGUGAUACUGGAUGGCUUGAAUUCGGGAGAGGGAUGCAGAAUUCCAGGUGUAGCGGUGAAAUGCGUAGAUAUCUGGAGGAAUACCGGUGGCGAAGGCGGCCUGCUGGGCAGUAGCUGACACUGAGGCGCGACAGCGUGGGGAGCAAACAGG
rnacentral:rRNA from 1 species